ACGCUCGACACCUACGGGAGGCAGCAGUGGGAAUAUUGCACAAUGGAGGAAACUCUGAUGCAGCGACGCCGCGUGGAGGAAGAAGGUCUUCGGAUUGUAAACUCCUGUUGUUGAGGACGAUAAUGACGGUACUCAACAAGGAAGUGACGGCUAACUACGUGCCACAGCCGCGGUAAUCUGAGCGGGCUGGCAAGGC
rnacentral:rRNA from 1 species